AGCCUCAGUAAAGUCAAGCUGUUGUUUAAAUAGAGCAAUAAAAAUGAAUUAUGGCUAAACGCCUUCAAGCCCAAACCUUCUGGAUGGAAUCCCCAGUCCAGACUAAUACGUAAGAGUUCUUUUUUUUUUUUUUUUUUAUUUGUGUGCAAGUUACUGCAAUUGAUAUAGAUGAUGACAUUUUCAUUCAUAGAGAGCAUUUGAUUUAUGAGUUUAGGAAGAAUUGCAUCCAG